AUGAACGCUGGCGGCGUGCCUAAUACAUGCAAGUCGAGCGAGCAGAUGAGGAGCUUGCUCCUCUGACGUUAGCGGCGGACGGGUGAGUAACACGUGGAUAACCUACCUAUAAGACUGGGAUAACUUCGGGAAACCGGAGCUAAUACCGGAUAAUAUAUUGAACCGCAUGGUUCAAUAGUGAAAGACGGUUUUGCUGUCACUUAUAGAUGGAUCCGCGCCGCAUUAGCUAGUUGGUAAGGUAACGGCUUACCAAGGCGACGAUGCGUAGCCGACCUGAGAGGGUGAUCGGCCACACUGGAACUGAGACACGGUCCAGACUCCUACGGGAGGCAGCAGUAGGGAAUCUUCCGCAAUGGGCGAAAGCCUGACGGAGCAACGCCGCGUGAGUGAUGAAGGUCUUCGGAUCGUAAAACUCUGUUAUUAGGGAAGAACAAAUGUGUAAGUAACUAUGCACGUCUUGACGGUACCUAAUCAGAAAGCCACGGCUAACUACGUG
rnacentral:rRNA from 1 species